rnacentral:rRNA from 1 species
AAUCUUGCGCAAUGGGCGAAAGCCUGACGCAGCCAUGCCGCGUGCAUGAUGAAGGUCUUAGGAUUGUAAAAUUCUUUCACCGGGGACGAUAAUGACGGUACCCGGAGAAGAAGCCCCGGCUAACUUCGUGCCAGCACCCGCGGCAAUACGAAGGGGGCUAGCGUUGCUCGGAAUUACUGGGCGUAAAGGGCGCGUAGGCGGAUCGUUAAGUCAGAGGUGGAAUACCAGGGCUCAACCCUGGAACUGGCUUUGAUACUGGCGAUCUUGAGUAUGAGAGAAGUAUGUGGAACUCCGAGUGUAGAGGUGAAAUUCGUAGAUAUUCGGAAGAACACCAGUGGCGAAGGCGACAUACUGGCUCAUUACUGACGCUGAGGCGCGAAAGCGUGGGGAGCAAACAG